ACUCAAAUGAAUUGACGGGGGCCCGCACAAGCGGUGGAACAUGUGGUUUAAUUCGAUGCAACGCGAAGAACCUUACCUGGGCUUGACAUCUACGGAACCUUGCGGAAACGUGAGGGUGCCUUCGGGAGCCGUAAGACAGGUGGUGCACGGUUGUCGUCAGCUCGUGUCGUGAGAUGUUGGGUUAAGUCCCGCAACGAGCGCAACCCUCGUGGUCUGUUGUUACAGGUCGAAAGAUGCUGAACCCUCAGGCCAGACUGCCGGUGACAAACCGGAGGAAGGUGGGGAUGACGUCAAAUCAUCACGCCCCUUAUGUCCAGGGCUACACACGUGUUACAAUGGGAAGCGACAGUAGGCAGCUUGGCAGCGAUGUCUGGCAAAUCCGGAAAACUUCCCUCAGUUCAGAUCGGAGUCUGCAACUCGACUCCGUGAAGUAGGAAUCGCUAGUAAACGCCGAUCAGCAUUGCGGCGUUGAAUACCGUUCCCGGGCCUUGUACACACCGCCCGU
rnacentral:rRNA from 1 species